rnacentral:rRNA from 1 species
GAUGAACGCUGGCGGCGUGCCUAAUACAUGCAAGUCGAGCGAACAGACGCUGAGCUUGCUCCUCUGACGUUAGCGGCGGACGGGUGAGUAACACGUGUAUAACCUCCCUAUCUGACUGGGAUAACUUCGGGAAACCGGAGCUAAUACCGGAUAACAUGUUGAACCGCAUGGUUCAACAGUGAAAGACGGUCUUGCUGUCUCUUAUAGAUGGAUCCGCGCCGCAUUAGCUAGUUGGUAAGGUAACGGCCUACCACGGCAACGAUGCGUAGCCGACCUGAGAGGGUGAUCGGCCACACGGGAACUGAGACACGGUCCAGACUCCUACGGGAGGCAGCAGUAGGGAACCGGACGCAAUGGGCGAAAGCCUGACGGAGCAACGCCGCGUGAGUGAAGAAGGUCUUCGGAUCGUAAAAAUGUGUUAUUAGGGAAGAACAAAUGUGGAAGUAACUGUGCACGUCGUGACGGUACCUAAUCAGAAAGCCACGGCUAACUACGUG